rnacentral:rRNA from 1 species
UUGAUCCUGGCUCAGAACGAACGCUGGCGGCGCGUUUAAGCAUGCAAGUCGAACGGGAUCAUCCUUCGGGGAUGUGAGAGUGGCGAACGGGUGAGUAACACGUAGGUGAUCUACCGCUUGGCGGGGGAUAGCCCAUGGAAACAUGGGGUAAUACCGCAUACGACCGAUCUGCUGUGGCGGGUUGGGGAAAGGCGCUUAGGCGUCACCGAGCGAUGAGCCUGCGGCUGAUUAGCUAGUUGGUAGGGUAACGGCCUACCAAGGCAACGAUCAGUAGCCGGCCUGAGAGGGUGAUCGGCCACACUGGGACUGAGAUACGGCCCAGACAACUACGGUUGGCAGCAGCUAAGAAUCUUCCGCAAUGGACGAAAGUCUGACGGAGCGACGCCGCGUGGGCGAUGAAGGCCGUGAGGUUGUAAAGCCCUUUUCUAUCGGAGGAAUAAGCCUGGGAGGGAAUGCCCGGGUGAUGACGGUACGGUAGGAAUAAGCCCCGGCCAAUUACGUGCCAGCAGCCGCGGUACACGUAACGGGCGAGCGUUGUUCGGAAUUAUUGGGCGUACAGGGCACGUAGGCGGCACGGUAAGCCUGGUGUGACAGACCGCAGCUUAACUGCGGAGACGCGCUGGGAACUGCCGAGCUUGAGUGCUGGACGGGGAGCUGGAAUUCCAGGUGUACGGGUGAAAUCUGUCCAUAUCUGGAAGAACACCGGUGG